GACGGAUGUAGAGUCUGACGGAGCACGCCGCGUGAGUGAUGAAGGUUUUCGGAUCGUAAAGCUCUGUUGUUAGGGAAGAACAAGUGCGAGAGUAACUGCUCGCACCUUGACGGUACCUAACCAGAAAGCCACGGCUAACUACGUGCCAGCAGCCGCGGUAAUACGUAGGUGGCAAGCGUUGUCCGGAAUUAUUGGGCGUAAAGGGCUCGCAGGCGGUUUCUUAAGUCUGAUGUGAAAGCCCCCGGCUCAACCGGGGAGGGUCAUUGGAAACUGGGAAACUUGAGUGCAGAAGAGGAGAGUGGAAUUCCACGUGUAGCGGUGAAAUGCGUAGAGAUGUGGAGGAACACCAGUGGCGAAGGCGACUCUCUGGUCUGUAACUGACGCUGAGGAGCGAAAGCGUGGGGAGCGAACAGGAUUAGAUACCCUGGUAGUCCACGCCGUAAACGAUGAGUGCUAAGUGUUAGGGGGUUUCCGCCCCUUAGUGCUGCAGCUAACGCAUUAAGCACUCCGCCUGGGGAGUACGGUCGCAAGACUGAAACUCAAUGAAUUUGACGGGA
rnacentral:rRNA from 1 species